UACGAAGGGGGGCUAGCGUUGCUCGGAAUCACUGGGCGUAAAGGGCGCGUAGGCGGCCGGCCAAGUCGGGGGUGAAAGCCUGUGGCUCAACCACAGAAUGGCCCUCGAUACUGGCUGGCUCGAGACCGGAAGAGGUUGGUGGAAUUGCGAGUGUAGAGGUGAAACUCGUAGAUAUUCGCAAGAACACCGGUGGCGAAGGCGGCCAACUGGUCCGGAUCUGACGCUGAGGCGCGAAAGCGUGGGGAGCAAACAGG
rnacentral:rRNA from 1 species